rnacentral:tRNA from 1 species
CCUUCGAUAGCUCAGUUGCUAGAGCGGAGGACUGUAGAUCCUUAGGUCGCUGGUUCGAAUCCGGCUCGAAGGA